rnacentral:rRNA from 1 species
UACAGAGGGUGCGAACGUUGCUCGGAAUUACUGGGCGUAAAGCGCAUGUAGGCGGAUCCAUAAGUCGGGCGUGAAAUCCCCAGGCUCAACCUGGGAACUGCGCUCGAAACUGUAGGUCUUGAGUGUCGGAGAGGAUGGCGGAAUUCCUGGUGUAGAGGUGAAAUUCGUAGAUAUCAGGAGGAACACCGGUGGCGAAGGCGGCCAUCUGGACGACAACUGACGCUGAGAUGCGAAAGCGUGGGGAGGCAAACAGG